rnacentral:rRNA from 1 species
UCCUACGGGAGGCAGCAGUGAGGAAUAUUGGUCAAUGGAGGCAACUCUGAACCAGCCAAGUCGCGUGAAGGAUGACUGCCCUACGGGUUGUAAACUUCUUUUUUAAGGGAAUAAAGUGAGCCACGUGUGGCUUUUUGCAUGUACCUUACGAAUAAGGAUCGGCUAACUCCGUGCCAGCAGCCGCGGUAAUACGGAGGAUCCGAGCGUUAUCCGGAUUUAUUGGGUUUAAAGGGUGCGCAGGCGGAAUAUUAAGUCGGCGGUGAAAGUUUGCAGCUUAACUGUAAAAUUGCCGUUGAUACUGGUAUUCUUGAGUGUAUAUGAAGUAGGCGGAAUUUGUAGUGUAGCGGUGAAAUGCAUAGAUAUUACAAGGAACUCCGAUUGCGAAGGCAGCUUACUAAAUUACAACUGACGCUUAGGCACGAAGGCGUGGGUAUCAAACAGGAUUAGAUACCCUGGUAGUCCACGCAGUAAACUAUGAUUACUCGCUGUUUGCGAUACACAGUAAGCGGCUUAGCGAAAGCGUUAAGUAAUCCACCUGGGGAGUACGUUCGCAAGAAUGAAACUCAAAGGAAUUGACGGGGGCCCGCACAAGCGGAGGAACAUGUGGUUUAAUUCGAUGAUACGCGAGGAACCUUACCCGGGCUUGAAAUGCAUUUGACCGGCUCAGAGACGAGUCUUCCCUUCGGGGCAAAUGUGUAGGUGCUGCAUGGUUGUCGUCAGCUCGUGCCGUGAGGUGUCGGCUUAAGUGCCAUAACGAGCGCAACCCUCAUCAUUAGUUACUAACAGGUUAAGCUGAGGACUCUAGUGAGACUGCCAUCGUAAGAUGCGAGGAAGGUGGGGAUGACGUCAAAUCAGCACGGCCCUUAUGUCCGGGGCGACACACGUGUUACAAUGGAUGGUACAACAGGCAGCUACUAGGUGACUAGAUGCUAAUCCCAAAAACCAUUCUCAGUUCGGAUCGAAGUCUGCAACUCGACUUCGUGAAGCUGGAUUCGCUAGUAAUCGCGCAUCAGCCACGGCGCGGUGAAUACGUUCCCGGGCCUUGUACACACCGCCCGUCAAGCCAUGGAAGCUGGGGGUACCUGAAGCACGUAACCGCAAGGAGCGUUCUAGGGUAAAACUGGUAACUGGGGCUAAGUCGUAACAAGGUAACCA